rnacentral:rRNA from 1 species
GACGAACGCUGGCGGCGUGCUUAACACAUGCAAGUCGAACGGAAAGGCCCUGCUUUUGUGGGGUGCUCGAGUGGCGAACGGGUGAGUAACACGUGAGUAACCUGCCCUUGACUUUGGGAUAACUUCAGGAAACUGGGGCUAAUACCGGAUAGGAGCUCCUGCUGCAUGGUGGGGGUUGGAAAGUUUCGGCGGUGGGGAUGGACUCCCGGCUUAUCAGCUUGUUGGGGGGGUAGGGGGUUACCAAGGCUUUGACGGGUAGCCGGCCUGAGAGGGUGACCGGCCACAUUGGGACUGAGAUACGGCCCAGACUCCUACGGGAGGCAGCAGUGGGGAAUAUUGCACAAUGGGCGGAAGCCUGAUGCAGCAACGCCGCGUGCGGGAUGACGGCCUUCGGGUUGUAAACCGCUUUCGCCUGUGACGAAGCGUGAGUGACGGUAAUGGGUAAAGAAGCACCGGCUAACUACGUG